UUGCUUUAUGAACGCUAUUACUCAUAUCAUCAACAAUAAGCUUGUUUUGUUUUCUCAAUCAGUGAACAAAAAAGAGUUUUAAUCUAAAUGAUUGAAAACCAAUUUUGACAAUCAUCUAUUAACCUUCACUGACAAGUAACACAAUCAAGAUCAUUCCUGUCUCUUCUAAUCAACAACAUCUUCUAUUUUACCCUUUGAUUGUGAUCAUUUUCCCUCUACUGGCUGUUGACUCUUUACCUUCACUCUGCACUUCACGCUUCUGUGGAUAAACAUGGACAAACUAUAAUUAAGUAAACAAUGCUCAAUCAAGUUGAAUCUUAAUAAUUGUUCCACUUUUUGUUUUCACAUUCAUUAUUAUUCGUGUUACAUUAUUAUCAAUCAAGGUCAAUCUGGAAAAGAUCAUUCGAUAAUCAAUGAAAUCGAAUCAAAGUUGUUCAAUUAUCAAGCCAUGCUACUUGCGGUUUACACCAACGGAAUACAUUUUUCUUCCCUGUUUUCUGUCCAUUAUACUUCACAUUGAACAAUUAUACGCGUGUUAAUUAAAAUGGUGAAUAGACAUGAAGAUAUGGAUCACCAUUCGCUGGUCUCAAUCAAACACUGCAUUGAAACAACUCGCCUAUUCAGCUUAUUCCCAGAUUUGGCUAUGGCCUAUUUGCAUCGAAGUUAUCGCUAAAUUAUAAAGUAAUUUGACAAUAGCUAUUAGCUUCAACUGGCAGAUAUGAUAUACAUUAUGGAAAAUACGAGUUAUCGAUGGUUGAUUUUUGAAAGCUGCUGAUGAAUAUUACGAUCUUCUCUUUUCUGUUUAUGGUCAAGUCAAACACAGUCUAAGGAUCAAAUGGCGAUGAUCAACUAAAUCAACUUUAAAUUUACCUUAUGACUUUUUUCCAGUAAAAAAAGAUGUCUAAAGAAUAGGCGCAUCCGAUGAAAAUUAAACUGUCCAUAAUCACUAUUAAAUAUCUUGGCUCGGUUCAGUUGACAAUACGGAAAUGCUAUCCAUCAUGGGCACUGAUUACAAAUGUAUUCAAAUAUCAUUCCGAUCAUAAAGAAAACAAAUAACGCAUUUGUUGAAACAAUUAUUAAUACAUUCAAUGUGACUAUUGCAACCAAAUGGAUCAGGCGUUAACCAUUUAGUUACAUUAUAUUACCAUUAAAUUAGCCAACAUUUUGCAUGUCUAAUGAAAUUAAUAGAGAUACAAUUUACAUUUUGGUAAUUACCUGAGAAAUAGUAAAUUGAUUCUAUUUGCCUAAAUUAUGAGCAAUAUUUGUUUUCAACAAUAAGUGUAAACUGGUGUGAUUCCAACAAUCAUAAACCCAAAAGAAAAACCCAAUUCCAAAUAGCCGUUCAAAUGGUGAUGUAUUUAGGUGAUGGACAUUAAUUGUCUUGGUGUUCACUGGACUCGAUUUGGUGAUUGAACAUGGAACCAGGAGAAAGUGAGGUCAAUAAUCGCUGUUACCCAUAACCAGUAAAAGUGUUUAAAGUUAAAGAUCUAAAAAUAUCAAUUGAAAUCAUUGUUAAAUGACAUGUAAAUUUUGCUCAUCGGCUCGUAGAAAGGGUCAACAAGCCGAAUGUGUGUUUCCCGAAAAACCUUGGCAAAUCCCGAAUAGUGAAGAUGGUGCUAAUGAUAAAGGUAUUUAGUAUAUUUGAC